GACGGAGGAUGCAAGUGUUAUCCGGAAUCACUGGGCGUAAAGCGUCUGUAGGUGGUUUAAUAAGUCAACUGUUAAAUCUUGAGGCUCAACCUCAAAAUCGCAGUCGAAACUAUUGGACUCGAGUAUAGUAGGGGUAAAGGGAAUUUCCAGUGGAGCGGUGAAAUGCGUAGAGAUUGGAAAGAACACCAAUGGCGAAAGCACUUUACUGGGCUAUUACUGACACUGAGAGACGAAAGCUAGGGGAGCGAAUGGG
rnacentral:rRNA from 1 species